rnacentral:rRNA from 1 species
AGCGUUGUCCGGAUUUAUUGGGCGUAAAGAGCGCGUAGGCGGCUAGGUAAGUCCGACGUGAAAUCUGGAGGCUCAACCUCCAGCGGUCGUUGGAAACUACUUGGCUAGAGUCCGGAAGAGGAGAGUGGAAUUCCUGGUGUAGCGGUGAAAUGCGCAGAUAUCAGGAAGAACACCGAUGGCGAAAGCAGCUCUCUGGGACGGUACUGACGCUGAGGCGCGAAAGCGUGGGGAGCGAACAGGAUUAGAUACCCUGGUAGUCCACGCCGUAAACGAUGGGUGCUAGGUGUGAGCGGUGUCGACUCCGCUCGUGCCGAAGCUAACGCAUUAAGCACCCCGCCUGGGGAGUACGGCCGCAAGGCUAAAACUCAAAGGAAUUGACGGGGGCCCGCACAAGCAGCGGAGCAUGUGGUUUAAUUCGACGC